AAUUCGCCCCUCCCCCUACGACCCACGAUCCGGAUCACAUGAUCCCAAUCGUGGUAUGUUCAAGUACCAAGUCGCCAAAAUUGGCAUUCCGAUUUGUAAAUUGAACACAGAAAAUUGGGCAUAUUGAGAAACAAAAUUACCUGUUAAAAGCCUCCAUGAUCAAAGCUAUCUCGCCUCGCGCCGAUAAUGGAAGUUGCCGCCGAC
rnacentral:lncRNA from 1 species